UACAGAGGUCUCAAGCGUUGUUCGGAUUCAUUGGGCGUAAAGGGCGCGUAGGCUGCGGGGCAAGUCGGGUGUGAAAUCUCAGAGCUCAACUCUGAAACUGCACUCGAUACUGCUUUGCUCGAGGACUGGAGAGGAGAUUGGAAUUCACGGUGUAGCAGUGAAAUGCGUAGAUAUCGUGAGGAACACCUGUGGCGAAAGCGGCGCACUGGACCACAACUGACGCUGAGGCGCGAAAGCUUGGGGAGCAAACAGG
rnacentral:rRNA from 1 species